CUGUUUUAGAAGAUCCCACAUAUGUUGGGCCUGAAGGCAUCCCACGCGUCCUGGGAGCUGAAGGGGCUGCAGUUUCUGCCAGGAAAAUCCCUUCUUGGAGGGAACUCACCACCCAUCACAGCACCCCUUCCUGUGGGCAAGGACCUGAAGUCUGUCUCUGGGGGCCUUGGACACCAGCCAACCAGCGUGCCCUGCCUUUCACAGAUGAAGGAACUGCUUCCAGAGAGGUGAAGACUUGUUCAAAGUGAAUAGAAGAUUGGGACCCCUGCCCCUGACUCCUUGUCCAGUGCUCCUUCCCUCACCAAGGGCUCUGGUUCUGACCUCUGGGCUUCACUCCCCCCGGGGAGCUUCCUCUGUCUCGGGGAUUCAGUGACGGAGGCCAGGUUGGUGAGGUUGGCACCCCUGACCACCCCUCCCCAGACUGUCUGUGUGUCUGCCACCCCCCGUCCCCCGCCAACUGGGAUGGAACUGACCAGGCCUGCAAAGGCUGCAGUUCGCCCCCGCCCCCCGCCUCACCUCCUCCUUCCCCAGCUCCUCUCAUUUUUCCUCUGAAAGGAAAAAAUUAAUAGAAAAUGUAAGUGAGC
rnacentral:lncRNA from 1 species